UUGUGCUAUGGACGGACUGUUUCUUGAAAAUAUAUGGCUCCUGUGGGGAAUUUUUUGCAUACAAAGAAAAUGACAAGGAUUCUGGCUCUCUCACUUUUCCUUCCUCAUUUCUUUAUCUAGUUUAACUUCUUAAUUGUACAAAAUGGAGUAGGAGAUUGAGCUGCUGUGGAGAAACUAUACUUGUGCAUGAUAACUAUUUUUCCAUGAAUUUGUAGUUUUGGCUCUUACACAUAAAAGGGUUUCAUGAUCU
rnacentral:misc_RNA from 1 species